UUAUAAAUCAUGUCUUUUGUUGCUUUUGUAAAACUCUGGUGCUUCCUGACCCCUGAUUCUGUUUGUUUAUUUAUUUAUUUAUUUUGCCCAUUUCAGUUUUAGGUAGGAAAGAGUAAUUCCACUUUAAAAAAAAAAAAAUUCUUUUCAGAAGUUGUGGCUCUAAUCAUGUUCCCUUAAACUUCACUCCUGAGCCCUGACACAUCUCUUGGUUCUGAGGAAACCUCUGUGAACUGCAAGACACUCAAAACAGAUUCUGUAUUGUUGUUGAAAAUUAUUUAAAUAGAAGUAGUAUUUUACGAAGCAUCAGAACUCCGAGCACCAGAACCCAGAUGUACACUUUCAUGUGACUGGUUGAUGUCAAGUUGAACAGAGACAAACUCCAUAGCUCUAAAAAUCAGUGUAGUGUUUUCUGUAAUAAUACAUGUGGGUUAAUGAUCCUAUUAGAACUUGGGAGAUGAGUCCUAGUCCUAGUCUAGAUGAGUCCUGGAUGAGAUCACAACCAGCCAGCUAAACGGCCUCUUUGAGCAUCAGUUUCCUUACCUAAAAAACUGGAUUCAGGAGUUUUUGUUGUAGCUCAGUGGAAACCAACCCGACUAGUAUCCCUGAAGGGUUCAAUCCCUGGCCUUGCUCAGUGGGUUAAGGAUUCGGCCUUGCUGUGAGCUGUGGUUUAGGUCACAGACGUGUCUUGGAUCCUGUGUUGCUGUGGCUGUGGCAUAGGGCUUCACUAUUCUGUCUGAUAGAGCUUCUCAGAGUUGGUAUUGCGGUCAAAUUGCUGUAGCUCCAUUUUGACCCCUAGCCUGGGAACUUCCAUAUGGUGCGGGGGUGGGCCUAAAAAGCAAAAAAAAAAAAAAAAAAAGAAGAAGAAGAAAAGAAAGGCCUCAAUUGGUGAUUGUUUUCAAACCUUAGAGUUGGUUCUAACAAAACAACUGAGUUUUUGAGUGAAAAAUAGAAGAUAAAACAAGACACUUCUAGACCCCCUGGAGGUGGUCCAGAGGCCCGUCCUCUUGACUUCCGCCAGCCUUCCAUUCCUCUGGGCUUCUGAGGUGGCUAUAAGGUGCCCUCACGUUACCCGUGUCAUGAUGUGAUAACUGGCAUAUGGACAGACCAAGUUCCUCUCCAGCUCUGAAAUUGUGUCCUCCCCCAUGUUAAAAUAUGGAUCAUGCCAGGAUUAGGUUGGGUAGGUUAGGUUAGCAGAGUGGCAUGUCUCUGGGGAGGCCUGAGCAUUUGGGGGUGUCAGAGGGCAGAGAAGUGGUGCCUCAGUCUGCCUUUACUAUAUCAGGACUUGGAGGCUUUUUUUUGUAUGGAUAAUGUGGAUGAUUCCUCUGUGCAGAUCAUCCCACGUUACCUCUUUUAUUUAUUUAUUUAUUUUGGCCAUCCCACAGCACAUGGAAUUCCUGGGCCAGGGAUCAGAUCUUAACCAUGGCUGCGAUCUAAGGAUCUGGCUGCGGCAGUGCCAGAUCCUUAACCCACUGGGUGGGGCUGGGGAUUGAACCUGUGUCCCACCACUCCCAAGAUGCCACCAAUCUUGUCGCACCACAGCAGGAACUCCCCACGUUACCUCCUUUAAUUCUUACCACCAACCUCAUCUUGAACCGCUAACCCGAACCUACGCCAGACAUGAGUCCAGCUCGGUGGAACCACAGGGCCCUUGCUAUUCCGUCUGAUAGAGCUUCUCAGAGUUGGCCCUGUCUCCUCCUUUAGGUUCCAGCAUGUAUGUCCCCUUCUAAGAGAAGACUUCUUUGCCUCUCCUCACUAACGAUAUCCUGGACAGCCUAUCUCAUUUAACUCACAGCAUUUAUUACUAGCUCGGUAAGUAUUUAGGCAUUUGUUAGUUCAUUAUAUUUAUGUCUCCUUGGACCUUUUCUCUUCCUCUCAAACACAUGGAAAUAUGAACUCCAUGAGACUGGAGACCUCAUCUGUGUUGUUCACCCCCACAUCCGCAACACCUAGGCAAGUGCCUGGCCCACAGUAGAUGUCUUUUAAGUAUCUGCUGAAUGAAUCAAUAAACAGGAGAGAGGUAGUUAUAACAGUCUCUCUUUUACGGAUGAAGAAACUCAGGCUUAGAGAGGCUGAGUGACCAACUCUAUGUCUCAUAACUAGGAAACUACAGCAUUGGGAUUCAGACUCAAGUUUGACUUAAGAACAAUUCUCAUCUAUUUCUGGGCCUCUCUUGGAAGAACCAUGUCAACUGUAAUCAAUGCUCAUCUCCACCUGAUAGAAUAAGGUAAUGAUCACACUGCCAAUGAAAACUGUGACACCAGUAACACCAUCAUUGUUGGGUACCUCUAGGUUUUUUAAGUUCUGUCUUGUAUCUUGAACCAAAAUCUACCUUCAUGCAACUUCUACUCAUUAAUUCUCAUUUGUCCCUGUGUAGCAAAAAACAGAAUGACUCUUUCUAGUUGCCAGGUUCGAGAGGAAAUGGGUAGCAGCAGGGCGGACUCUGUCUGGAUUUCCUUAAUUUCUUGCCAGUAGGCAAGCACCUGGUACGGCCAGCACUCCCAAGGGGGCAAUUUACAAGGCUGUUUACCUGCCGUGGGUGCUUUAGUGAGGGGUAUUAUGGUUGUUUCAUCUUAAUUAAUGGUGAUACUCUUAUCCUCCGCCAGUAGAUCAGUAUAUUCUUACUAAGGAAAUUGGUCCUGACCACUGGUUUUGAGUGAUUAGUUUCAUCUCUGCAAACUGCCUUCCUAUGAAAGAGGUCUUCACACUAUGUUCGUUUUCCUCUCCAACUUGAAUGUGGUUAAGAUUGAUGAGGAGUUGGGCGGUAAACCCUCCGAACUCUUUGAAACCAGUGCCCAAUACAAACCUGUUUAAUUCUGUUCGUUUGUGGUCUCUGGCUUCAGCAUUUGGCCUUCAAGAGCAUUUUGGUCCAAGCUACCCUGUGGUCUCUGUGGUCUCCACUGGUGGCAACUGGUUCUGUGGAUAUUACCUAUGUUUGAAUCUUGUAUGGCUUGUAGCUUUCAUCUAGAUCCAGUUUCUUUGGUCUGUUACUCAUGAAGAAACGGGGGGAAAUGUGAUAAUAACAGCUAGUAUUCGUGUGCUCCGUGAGCCAAGAGCUGUUCUAAAUCCCUACCCUGGAUUAUUGCAUUUAAAAGACCAUCACAUAUCCUGGGAAAACAGCAUAGGCCCUGUGUUAAGUGCUUCACAUUCAUUAUUUCAUUUCAUCCUUGAUUUCCAUUUCUUACCUAUGGUACGCUAGCUUCCUCCAUGGCAUGACUGAUUACGUGCAAGAAUCCACAUAAAGUGCUGAUGACAGUGUCUGGCAUGGCUCACACUCAAGAAACAUUAGCUGUUGGAAUGAUCAUACACCUCUUUUGUAACACUGAAUAGGUUCAGUAUUUUUGGAUCUAGGCUCACAGUGAAGCCUCCAUUUUUCUAGCUUAAAUCAACACCCUAUACUACCAUAGACAGACUGAUAAGGUCGAAAUAGGAACAUGCGACAGGGCAAGAGGUCUGGGCUUCGGGCAUUAGCUGUGCCAUUUGAUACACUGAACACCCAAGCAAGUUCCUCGACUCCUGACAGCUUUGAUUUCCUCAUCUGCACGUGAGGUAUGCGACCCUGAUGAGCUCUAAGAUCUCUUGACCUUUAUAAAUCUUGCCCCACGAAUUUCUUUGUCAGAAUGUGAAUUUUACCACAAGGGCUAUGCUUCUACCAUCUUGGUGCAUGUGCCAUGUUAAAGAGACCCAAACCACUCUAAUGGAACGUGCUUUAGGAAGAUGCUCAGUAAGGAAAGUGAUGCCUUCCACCUGCUGCCCCAGCCCUCUCACUGGCAGGCAAAGCCAUCAGUAACCAGUUGGUUUGGAAAUUGUCAGGGAAGGCGCAGUGUAAAAUGCAUUGUUGGUAGACUUGCUUUUGUUUUCUACAUCAAUUUCUUAUGAAUCUACUGAACGGAGGCGCUGUGUUGUGGCGCUGUGCUGUGCUGGUCCAAGAAUCAAGAGCCUUUGAGUUCAGUUCUAACUCCAGCUCUGCCACUGUCUAGUCUUUGGGAGAAUAAAUGACACUUACCUUCCUUGAGCCUUCGUUGUUUCAAUUGUCAGAAAGGCAUUGUUGAAAACGUCUCCCAAUUCUAAAACUCUGCUACUCAGUUCUUUAUGAGAACAAUACUCAGAUGAAAUCCUAUGGACAGAAAAGCAUGUGGUCUCUCCUUUCUCCUUUCUUUGCCAAGCACAAUGAGAGUUGGUGUGGAAAAAAUAAAAAUCUGCUGUGAAAAGGUUCAUUCAGCCUUUUCUUAAUAGAUCGAGUGGUUGGUAUUUCUGCUGGCUUCUGAAAUACAUGACAAAUCACAAUCUGGAAAAAGUUCCAAAGCAGCUCCAAGCCUUCCUGCUGAAUUUGGAUACAUCUUUAGGUCUUACUCUGCAGCUCAUCCUUAACAACUGACAAAAUAUUUACUUUGCUCGGUACAGAAAAGGCUAACAUUUUCCAAAAUAUUAAACUAGGUUGGAUUCAGAACACAGACAAUGAGGCAAAAAGUUGGACCUCUGUUGGAAGCCAUGUCGUUGAAUCAUUUUCCAGAGUGCCAUGAGAAACAGAGCUGGGGUGGAUGUUUGUGCUCCACAGUGAUUCUGAAAAGGGCAGAAGCCAGCCAGCCCCGGUCUCAAGUAUUCACUGGUGUGUAGACCAGAGGUUCUCAAAGUGUGGUCCCUGGACCAGCAGCGUCAGCAUCUCCUGGAAACUGGUUAAAGAUGCAAACUCUCACAACCCAUCCCAGAUCUACUGAAUCAGAAAGUCCUCAGAUGCGGCCCAGCAGUCUGUGUUGUGAUGAGUGCUCCUGGUAGACAAGCCCAGGUAAAUCUCAUGCUAGGAAGAGUUUGAAAACCACUGGUUGGGCCCAUGAGGGCUACAGUGCUUAUUAGCUUUGAAUUAAAAGUGGGAAGCAAGUAAGUUCUCAUUAGUGAAUUUAAAAUGUUUCCAAUAUA
rnacentral:lncRNA from 1 species